UCAACACAGAGGCUGCGAGUACAGCAGGUUUCGUACCUGGCGCUCACCGCCGUUAAUUCAAGGCUGCUGUCACCUAGGCACGUCUCUCUGUCCCGCCGCUCCCUCCACGCUCUCCGCACUGCCAGAAGUAAUGAUUUUUGCUACUACGACACUCCCUUCAGCAAGAGAAAGAAUAGUUUAUUUAGUGCACUGCAAGAGAGGAUGGCCUGCUUCCCCUUUCAAAAAUACCCGUAAUAAUGACUUGAAGGAUGUGGACAUGGUAAACCUAGACGCCUUGCCACUUGCUUCCCUGCCCACACCAUGAAUAUUUGCAGUGAGACUGCAGAGCUUUGGAUUGAGGCAGAGAGGUCUGAUUUCUUAGAACCCUAGCUGUCUGGCAUAUAUACCUGAGGAUGACUGAAUUUAUACGAGGCCUCUGCGCGAGUGCUGGGAUUACAGAUGAUGCUGUCAGAAAUAUGUUCCCUGUGAAGAGAAAAAUUGAGCUCUUUUGGACCAGUGAGAUUAUUAAGAAUAUAGUUUUAAAAUCAUGGUAAAAUCUUGGCUUUCCUGUUCAAGAUUCACCAGCCCACCAGGAUGAAUCACUGUUUCCACGGAUGCCUUGGGAGGCAGCUGACUCAAACCCAGGAUCUUAGACAUACUAACAGUUGUUGUACCAGUGAACUAUAUCUCUGGCUCUGAGGAAGAUAACUUUUAAAAUAUGCUGUGCAGUUUGCUGGAUCCUAUGAGUGAGUGAUCUCAGAAGAGAAGAGGAGGGGACUCCCCUAGUGAUAAUGGCACACAGUACAUAAGGAGACUUGCUUUUACAGCUGAUCCUACAAAUUGAUAUAGGUUUGCAUCUGAAUUUCUGCCCAGGAAAAUGAAGAACAAGAGCGUGCAUGGACGCAACAGGGCUUCUGAGUAAUUAAUGCUUCUAUCAAUAUCUCCGAAGGACAGAUGAACAAAGAAAGGAACAGGUAUCUAACUCUAUUAGGUUGGACCACAAUGAUCAUUGAGUCAAAGCUUCAUCCUUGCAUUCUGGUGUCUGCUAUUAUGGUUGGUAGUGAUUUCUUCAUUUUCAUCCUUGUCCAGCUCUCCCCUCAACUGCAUUACUAGAAACGGAUCAGUGAAACCGACAUUGUGAGUAAAGAGGCUGAAUGUUGGCAUGGAAUCCAGGAUGCUCUCGGGAUGUAAUAGCAGGAGUGGCGCACAAAGAGAAUAUAGAGGAAGGUUGUCCAAAGAACAAAUGCUUGACAUUAUGCAGAUAUGGGACCACCAAGCUCUUACCAAUGGGAAAAGACUGAUAUUUGUGUCGCUCAUCAGUGGGUGCAGUACCUGAAGGAACAAGAGAAGCAACACCCAGAGGACAACAAUGUGGCAUAUUGGGUGAAGACCAUUGAAAAAACUACUUGUCUCUAUUGGACUGGGCUUUUUCUUUUUUCUUCUUCCUGGAAAUAACUGGUCAUAACAUCUGAGUCUAUUUACCAUCCAUUCUUUAGAAAAGUAAUGUGUAAAAUAGAAUUUUAUAACAGUAUACGUUUUACUCUAUUUUUAUUCUGGUGUUUUAUCAUUUCAGAAUUUAAAAGUAUAUUUCUAUGUCAUGUUCUUUGAUAAAUACAAUAUAAAGUCUACAUAGGAUAUGGAUUUAUUUAGACAUUACCAUAUUACUCUACUUUUUGGGCCUGGUGAAUUUUUUUUGUUUUGUUUUGUUUUGUUUUUGUUUUUUUUGUUUUUCGAGACAGGGUUUCUCUGUGGCUUUGGAGCCUGUCCUGGAACUAGCUCUUGUAGACCAGGCUGGUCUCGAACUCACAGAGAUCUGCCUACCUCUGCCUCCCGAGUGCUGGGAUUAAAGGCGUGCGCCACCAUCGCCCGGCCUGGUGAAUUUUUUUAAAGCAUGUAACAUUGUAAUCAUAUUUUCCUGAAAAUUAACUUCUACCAUGGAAUUUGUUUAUUUGAAGACUUCAUAAAGGUGCUUUUUAAUUAUUCACAUUACAGUUGCACAAAUCAUAACCCUACUCGUAGUGAAUAAAUGUGAAUAUUUCUAUAACCCAUUAGAAUAUAACCUUUUUGUAAGUUUUUUCAAGACUGUGUUUCUCUGUAUGCCUGGUUGUCCUAGCUGGCCAAAGUCAUACCAACAGAAAAUACUUGGAUUAAAGUAGACUCUAUUAUCAUUUUUGUGCCCUCUCUUUUUUUUUUUUUUAGAACAAAAUCUCCCAUUAUAAUCUCCUUUGUUCAUCCUUUUUGCUGACCAUCCACCUGCCAUUAAAAAAUAAUAAACAUCCAUAACCCAUAUUUUGGGAAUGUGGAUAUAUUUUUUCCUGCGAAUUGUGGCCUCUGGUAGUUUUGGGGAUACCCUGAGGAAACAGCUGCAACUGUUAAGCAGAGAAACCUUGUC